rnacentral:rRNA from 1 species
AUUGAACGUUGGCGGCAGGCCUAACACAUGCAAGUCGAGCGGAUGAGAGGAGCUUGCUUCUCGAUUCAGCGGCGGACGGGUGAGUAAUGCCUAGGAAUCUGCCUGGUAGUGGGGGACAACGUUUCGAAAGGAACGCUAAUACCGCAUACGUCCUACGGGAGAAAGCAGGGGACCUUCGGGCCUUGCGCUAUCAGAUGAGCCUAGGUCGGAUUAGCUAGUUGGUGAGGUAAUGGCUCACCAAGGCGAUGAUACGUAACUGGUCUGGGAGGAUGAUCAGUCACACUGGAACUGAGACACGGUCAAGACUCCUACGGGAGGAAGCAGUGGGGAAUAUUGGACAAUGGGCGAAAGCCUGAUCCAGCCAUGCCGCGUGUGUGAAGAAGGUCUUCGGAUUGUAAAGCACUUUAAGUUGGGAGGAAGGGUUGUAGAUUAAUACUCUGCAAUUUUGACGUUACCGACAGAAUAAGCACCGGCUAACUCUGUGCCAGCAGCCGCCGUAACAC